AGCGAACGCUGGCGGCAGGCCUAACACAUGCAAGUCGAACGAACUCUUCGGAGUUAGUGGCGGACGGGUGAGUAACACGUGGGAACGUGCCUUUUGGUUCGGAAUAACUCAGGGAAACUUGUGCUAAUACCGAAUGUGCCCUUCGGGGGAAAGAUUUAUCGCCAUUAGAGCGGCCCGCGUCUGAUUAGCUAGUUGGUGAGGUAACGGCUCACCAAGGCGACGAUCAGUAGCUGGUCUGAGAGGAUGACCAGCCACACUGGGACUGAGACACGGCCCAGACUCGGGGGGGAGGCGGCGGUGGAGAAUGGGCCACAAGGGUGAAACGCCCGAGGCAGCGAGGCGGGGGUAAUGAUGAAUGUGUUAGUAUCGUAAAAUCCUUCCCGCGGGGAAGAAAAUGACGGCACGAGGAGAAGACGCCCCGGCCAACUUCGCGCAAGCGGCAGCGAUAAUACACGGAAGAGCACACGUGUGACC
rnacentral:rRNA from 1 species